AGGCAUGCGGCAUGCUAUACAUGCAAGUCGAGCGGACAGAUGGGAGCUUGCUCCCUGAUGUUAGCGGCGGACGGGUGAGUAACACGUGGGUAACCUGCCUGUAAGACUGGGAUAACUCCGGGAAACCGGGGCUAAUACCGGAUGGUUGUUUGAACCGCAUGGUUCAAACAUAAAAGGUGGCUUCGGCUACCACUUACAGAUGGACCCGCGGCGCAUUAGCUAGUUGGUGAGGUAAUGGCUCACCAAGGCAACGAUGCGUAGCCGACCUGAGAGGGUGAUCGGCCACACUGGGACUGAGACACGGCCCAGACUCCUACGGGAGGCAGCAGUAGGGAAUCUUCCGCAAUGGACGAAAGUCUGACGGAGCAACGCCGCGUGAGUGAUGAAGGUUUUCGGAUCGUAAAGCUCUGUUGUUAGGGAAGAACAAGUACCGUUCGAAUAGGGCGGUACCUUGACGGUACCUAACCAGAAAGCCACGGCUAACUACGUGCCAGCAGCCGCGGUAAUACGUAGGUGGCAAGCGUUGUCCGGAAUUAUUGGGCGUAAAGGGCUCGCAGGCGGUUUCUUAAGUCUGAUGUGAAAGCCCCCGGCUCAACCGGGGAGGGUCAUUGGAAACUGGGGAACUUGAGUGCAGAAGAGGAGAGUGUAAUUCCACGUGUAGCGGUGAAAUGCGUAGAGAUGUUGAAGGAACACCUGUGGCCAAGCGACUCUCUGGUCUGAAACUGACGCUGAAGAGCGAAUCCUUGAGUAUCCAAUAUGAUUAUGAUAUCUCGGUGGUCAAGCCG
rnacentral:rRNA from 1 species